rnacentral:rRNA from 1 species
CACUCCUGCGGGAGGCAGCAGUGGGGAAUAUUGCACAAUGGGCGCAAGCCUGAUGCAGCCAUGCCGCGUGUGUGAAGAAGGCCUUCGGGUUGUAAAGCACUUUCAGCGGGGAGGAAGGCGAUACGGUUAAUAACCGUGUUGAUUGACGUUACCCGCAGAAGAAGCACCGGCUAACUCCGUGCCAGCAGCCGCGGUAAUACGGAGGGUGCAAGCGUUAAUCGGAAUUACUGGGCGUAAAGCGCACGCAGGCGGUCUGUCAAGUCGGAUGUGAAAUCCCCGGGCUCAACCUGGGAACUGCAUUCGAAACUGGCAGGCUUGAGUCUUGUAGAGGGGGGUAGAAUUCCAGGUGUAGCGGUGAAAUGCGUAGAGAUCUGGAGGAAUACCGGUGGCGAAGGCGGCCCCCUGGACAAAGACUGACGCUCAGGUGCGAAAGCGUGGGGAGCAAACAGGAUUAGAAACCCCGGUAGUCCCAU